UACGUAGGGAGCGAGCGUUGUCCGGAAUUACUGGGUGUAAAGGGUGCGUAGGCGGGGCUGCAAGUCAGAUGUGAAAUGUAUGGGCUCAACCCAUGAACUGCAUUUGAAACUGUGGCUCUUGAGUGAGGUAGAGGUAAGCGGAAUUCCUAGUGUAGCGGUGAAAUGCGUAGAUAUUAGGAGGAACAUCGGUGGCGAAGGCGGCUUACUGGGCCUUUACUGACGCUGAGGCACGAAAGCGUGGGGAG
rnacentral:rRNA from 1 species